CGAGAUGACGUUUCACAGGGAACACAAGAACACAAGUCAAUAGAAGAACACAGAUUGAGAAACGCCCACAGCCUCAGUUUUCCUGCUGAGUCUUGUCUAGUUUUGCUUCCUGUCUUGUGUUUUCCAGCCAGUCUGAUUGUUCUGCCCCGCCCUGAUGUGUUUCACCUAUUGGCUCACCUGUCCUUUGUUUGCUCGUUACCUCGUUUUCAGGUCAUUAUUUGUGUUCUGUAUCCUGAGAUUCUUUGCCUGCUGUUCUCUGGACACCUUUGUUGAUGAAGGAAGAAUUAAACCAAGCUUCUGUAAAUCUACAAACUGCCAGAAAAUCUGGCUGCAGGUUGGUUUUUGUCGAGUACCAGAAAUGCUGACGAACUGAAGGUUGGCGAGCCUUGCCCAGCAGAUCUGUGGACAAUAUUGGAUAUGGUGUGGCCAGCCAUAAAGACCUGCAACAGAGGGAUUCACUCUGACACAGAUAAGACACGCACCAACCUACCCAGAGGGCCGUGUCCUGCGUCAGGGCUGUAGUGGAAGAGGGGUCUGUUGGAGAGGAAGGGUGGAGACAUCACUGGAUCAGUCGGAGCAGAUCAGGGAUCUCGGCACCCAACUGUGUGAUGUCCGGGAGACCAACGAUUUCUUCCAGUGUGAGUAAAUUCCUCAGAGCAGAAGGUUAGUAUUCAGCGUAAGCUGACAUCUACCCUACAGGAGCUGCAGGAGAAAAACAAACAGUGUGAGCUCCUCAAAGGAGAACUUGCAAUCAAAAAAGCUCAAUUGCAGACUUGCAGGAGGAGGUGGUUGUGCUUCAGUUACCUGAAGUCAAAGUCUCCCAUAACAUGGGACAUGUGGAGGGAAGCUCAUACCCUGGCACGUCUCAUGGAAGUGAUGAUCACAUUAAUUAGAGCAGUAUGAUCAAAAUAUAGAGGGGUGUGAUCCUUUCAGUUUAUGGUGUGAGAAUUGCCAGAUGCAGUAUAGUUAUAAUAGUUUUUAGUUAGAAUUGAGCAACACUCCAGGUUCUAACAGGUCUCUUUGGUU